rnacentral:lncRNA from 1 species
AAAGGUAAGGCAAAUAGUGUUAAACCAAAUUGUGUUCUGAAAUGUGUGCAUUCUCUGAAAGUCACCAAAUGCAUAUCUGUUCUGUGUCUCUCUCUGGUUGCAGUUUCUUAUACCAGAUAGGAGUUUUCAAAGUGUCUCAUAUCUACAUGUUGAGGUAGUUAGGUCAACAAGCAGAGAUGGCAAUUACAGUUUCUCACUUACAAACUUAUUAUGAUCUGAUUUAAGAGAAAAUGGAUAGGUAAAAUUCUAAUAUCAAUCAUUUCUAGUAUAUUUGUUGUGCAAUAAUGAUGAAAGCAAUGCUUAAAACAUCCUCACUUCAGGGUCCUGGAAUGUAAUACUUUAAAAAGUACUGAACAAUUUGGAUGAAGUUCUCCAACAGUUUGAAUGAUAAUGUUUGGGACUUUCACAAACCUCUAGGAUUAAAUACAGAAAAUCAGAUACCAAAAUAACAUACAUUGCCCAAAUCGAAUUAACAGCAAAGAACUUUGUCUCAUCAUUAUUUGAUUAUCAUCACAUAUCAAUAAAUAAAGGAGCAGAAGACAAUCUUCCUAAAAAUUAAAUACUAGAGAAUUUUAAGGUCACUAUACUUUAGUAAAAGCGAAUAGGCAGAUCAUUUUUUAAACUAUGCAAUGCUCCUACGACUGACUUGGAGAUGAAUCAGCGCCACCAGCCAGAGAUAGGUUACCAGCUUACUAUGCUACAGUACUUUACAACAUUUGAAAAAAUUGUAUUAAUAAUUCUGAGCCUGAGGUAUUUUUGCAUCUCAAUAAGAAGUAGUUGCUUGUUUUUGAUGUUUUUGCAUAUAUAAUACUUUUGUCUUAUUACCAACUCAUAGCAUGGUCCUUUUAAAGGCCUUAUAAAUAUUAGUUAAGUCAAGAGAAACCAGCAGUGUAAUUUUCAUUUGACACAGGAAGUAAAUAUCUGUGGUCACUUGUCAGACAGAUUUUGUACUGCCUGCUGUAUGAGAAACUAUUCUAAAGUCUGAAAUGUUUGAUAAGACAGGAAUUGGUGAAAUAUAUAUUUACAAUUUUGUUUUGCUGAAAGCAUUUAGUGCUCUUGCCUAAAUUAUCUGGAAGGUUUGGUAGAAGAAAAGUUAGGGGAGAAUCUACUUUUUAUUUAUUUGUUAAUUUUGUUAUUAUUAUUAUUAUUUGCUUUCGGUAGCAUCUCUGUUCUCGUCCCUCCCUUUAUAGGGAAGCGUCAGAGCUUGUUCUGGGGGUACUUUGGGGUACGCCUGGUUUGCACAUUGUUCUGGGGGUACUUUGGGUACACCUGGUUUGCACAUUGUUCUGGGGGUACUUUGGGGUACGCCUGGUUUGCACAUUGUUCUGGGGGUACUUUGGGGUAUGCCUGGUUUGCACAUUGUUCUGGGGGUACUUUGGGUACGCCUGGUUUGCACAUUGUUCUGGGGGUACUUUGGGGUACGCCUGGUUUGCACAUUUUCUGGGGGUACUUUGGGGUAUGCCUGGUUUGCACAUUGUUCUGGGGGUACUUUGGGGUAUGCCUGGUUUGCACAGCCUCUAAUACAGCUUCUUUGCUAGUGUCCUGGGCUUUUGAAUUUUCUCCCAUCUAUCCUGAACAGGCUUUUUAUAUCCUUUCAAACUUGCUUGAAAAGUAUGUGCUGGCAUUUUUGUUGAGACUUAGCCUGCCUCUGGGGAAGGCUGAGUUUUGAAAAGGUCAAUUAAAGGCUGACCUUUUCACCUCUGCUCCGUUUAGUGAUAUGAUAAACAGACAGGGAUGGGGCUGGAGACUUCAGUCCUAUCUCUGCAUCAUGUGUUUUCAUAUGAUGCUGUUAUUAGAUGAUCCAUGCUUAAGCUCUUUAGUUUGCUCUCUUCAGGCCAUAUGUCCUAAAGGCAGGCAACUCUUAAGUUCAACAGCAUAUUCCUAGACUCACUCAGGAUCUCUCAUGUAAGGCGUACAGCCCUGAGACCCUACAAGGGUUUCUUUUCUAAUAUCUGUAUCAAAGGGGAACAAUGUUUAAUUCACACGUAGAAACUGGACUGUGAAGUUCUAUUGUUGUAAAAUGCGAUGCUAUUAUGUAAAAUGCAUGCCUUGUUUGAGAAAGCCAGAAAUUGUGUUUGAUUUUAAACAUCUGUUAACCCGGGUGGACAGUUAAAGACAGAUCCCUGUGGCUGGUUGUAGGCCAGCCUAAUCUACUUAAGGAAUUCUAGGACAGUGAGAGACCCUAUUUAAAGUAAAGAUUGUCUUCUGAAUUCUAAAUGCAUGCACAUCUGCAUGUACCCCCCCCCCACGUACACCUAUUACAUGUAAACACACAGAAAUGUCCAAGACCAAAAAUCUUUGUUUGAAAAGGGACAUGUUUAACUCUUUGGUUCCUGCUUGUAAUUUAAGAGGAAAGAUGUCCUGACAGACACAGAUGUAGCUUUUAGUUGUCUGCCAAGCAAGACAUAAGAAGGAAUGGCAUAGAUAUACAACAUGGUGAUAGGAACGCUGUUGAAUAAGCAAUAUGUAACUUAAAAAUUGUAGCCAUUACCCAUGUAAAGAUUGCCUAUUUUAUAAAAUACCUACUGCCAAUUUUUGUAGCAAAAUGCAUGUUUCUUCGCUGCCCAAUCCUAUCCCUUGAAGCAGCUCCUUUAUCUCUUCUGCUAAAUAGCCUCUGAGACCAGAGUACAAUAUUGGCUCAUUCACUUGAACUUAACAUGAAAGAGGAGGAUGUCCAAUGAUAUCCUAUGAGUAUUCUAGAAAAAUGAGUCCUACUCCACACAAAUUAUGCUGCUUUUCUUGCCCACUGGAUUUAGGAUCCACUGGUCUUAACUUGUAAAUAAUGAUCUUAUAAUGUUUUUGUACUUGAUUAUGAGACAUAAUUCCUUUCAGAUUACCCACUUCAAAUUACCGUGGAAUGUUUUUAUUAAGAUGGACAGUAUUAGAGAUACUACUUUAUCAUUUGAAAGUUGGCACAAAGAACUGCAACUUAGGAAAACAAGCACCCCGACCCAGUGAUUCAUGUUGGUUUUCUGAGUGCUUGGGAGGUAAGAGAAAAAAAUCAAGAGUUCAAGAAGCCUGUCUUAAAAAAAACCCCAAAUAUCCAAAUGCAGAAAAGUGAAAACCCAAAUCAUUUGUGUUGUUCUCAUAAAGAAGUAUCAAUGCCUAUCAGGGUGAAACUUUCAGUUCUUUGAAAGAAAUGCUUUGGAGGCAAUGUGUUCAUUUGGUGGGAUCUAGUAGUCUGAGGCCUGCUGUUGUGCACACUGGCGCCCUCGUGUGGAAUUCAGAGUGUAUGGCUCAGGAAAAGUAAGGUUAAAAGGGUAUCCUGAAGAGGGAAGGCAGUAGUUGAAAUCACCAUAGUAAUUUUGCUUCUACACCAUGCAGAAAAGAUCUUCCAGGAGUUUUGAUAACUAGAUUUUUUCCCUUAUUCUUUAAAUCAUGAGUUAUCUUCUGGAAAAAUAUAUUCUGUGUAGACGUAUAAAAUGUCAUUUGGGGGCAUUUGUCUUUACAGAGUCAAUUACCAAUUCCUCCCGAAUGCCACCUGAUGUUUCUGUAGUGUCCAAUGUAUUUUACUAUCAUCAAAAUAAACAGAUAGUAACCUUGAUGUUGAAAGUGGUAGGGGUAAGUAGAAGGGAUAAAAUGGACCUGAUCCUGGUAGCAGACCAGCACAGUCCUAAGGAAUUUGCAUAGAGCUUUUCACUUACUCGUGGCAGCAUCUUGUGAAAUUGAUCCUGUUAUUUCCAUUUUAUAGUGGGAAACCAUGGGAGAAUGGACAUCGUUACUCAAGAUCCCAGCCUGGUUAGGAGUUGGAGCCAGUGUUGGACUUUUGACUAUAUAACUGUUAUUGGUCGGGAUUCACUUUUCAAAAGCACUGUCUGGAUUAGUAAUUGUUCCUUUUCUGGCAAACUGAUCAUUAAGAAUUUUGUUUUAAAAUGAGGGAGACAGUCUGAAAUGAUUCCUUUUGCUGUAUAGAACUUUGCUCCUCCUAGAUGUAUUGUGUGUGCAUUUCAGCCAUCCUUAGUCAUGCUAAGCACUAUAGCUUUCUCCUUAUGAUUGUGUCUUCUAUGUUGAGUGGCUAUUGGAAUGCUGCAGUUUCCACAGAUGUGGAUAGUUAUCUGAUUCUUUGAACCAAGUUUAUAGUCUUUUUUUUUUCUUUUUUUGUCUUUUCUUUGUAGGCAUGAACUUUGCAUGUGCUCUCUUAUUCCUCUUGAAUUCAUUAUUUUGGCUGGUGGCUUCACAUUUCCAUGAACUGAGUAAGAGCUGGUCUUUCUCUCAGCAUCACCUCAUGUGUCUCAUUGCUCAUUGUGUACCUCCUUUACCUUCUCAACAUUUCAGAAUGGAGUUUUCUUCAUAUUUGUGUAAACUCCCAAGUUCAGGUUUUCUUGUGUUGACCUCCUAUCUGGUUUCUCUGCCUUCAGUUUUUCCUUUAUAUUAAAAGCAAAAGGGGGCUUACCAAAACUCCAAACAAAUAAACUAUAUAUUCU